CGAGGAAUCUUGCGCAAUGGGGGAAACCCUGACGCAGCAACGCCGCGUGAGUGAGGAAGGUCUUCGGGUCGUAAAGCUCUGUCAGGCGGGAAGAAAUGCAUGGAGGUGAACAGCCGCCAUGCUUGACGGUACCGCCAGAGGAAGCACCGGCUAACUCCGUGCCAGCAGCCGCGGUAAUACGGGGGGUGCAAGCGUUGUUCGGAAUCAUUGGGCGUAAAGAGCGUGUAGGCGGCUUGGUAAGUCAGAUGUGAAAGCCCUGGGCUCAACCCGGGAAGUGCAUUUGAAACUGACAGGCUCGAGUAGGGGAGAGGGAAGUGGAAUCCCUGGUGUAGAGGUGAAAUUCGUAGAUAUCAGGAGGAACACCGGUGGCGAAGGCGACUUCCUGGCCCUAUACUGACGCUGAGACGCGAGAGCGUGGGUAGCAAACAG
rnacentral:rRNA from 1 species